UCAUAUCACACUAAUAAUUUUAAAUUUAGAAAAAAUAAAGGGAUCUAAAUAUGUCAUAUUAAAUAGAGUGCUCUAUUUAAGCUGUUCAAGAGGAGAGGUUGAACUGGGCUAAAUAUGUGUCUCUUUGUGAGCCAAAUGUGAUGGCCCAUUCUUGUAAUCCCGUCAUUUCUGUGCUGAGGCCCAAGAACCGUGAGCUUGAGGCUGGCCUAGGCUGCAUAGUGAGACCUUACCUCAAAGAUUGCAAGUGGACAAAAAUACUCCUUUGAAGCAUACCUACGAUUAUUCUUCUAGCUAAAUUUUGUGGUGUCCUCCAUUGCAUGGUAUUUGCACAUUUCCCACCAUUCUUUACUAAAUAAAGUUUUUUGGUUUUUUUGUUUUUGUUUUUUUAAAUUAAACUUGAACUUUUUCUCCUGGUGCCUCUUAGGUGAUCAGCUACAUGAAGGUAAAGCCUUAUUUCUUCUUCCCUUCCUGGAAGUGGUUUUGUGUGUGCUUGUUUUUUUGUUUUGUUUUUUUUUUUUUUGUCUUUUUAAAGUAAGAGCCCUAAGUUAAAACUAGCACAGGGAAACCCAACUAUAUUUCUAAAAAGAAGCACCCAAGACUUCCGACACACUGGGUAUCAGAAGCUCACUGGAGUGGACCGGGAACAUGAACGUAAUACAUUUUAUGUGAAGAGUCGGGUCACAGGUUGCUGGUGAAGCUCAGGGUGAAGACUGUGGUUUGCAUCAGUGACAGAAACAACAGUUUUUCCAUGAAGCAAGCUGUCUUGGCCAGGUCCAUCUGCCAUUAAGUACGAGACGCUCCUGGAAUAGACCAAGGAGAACUGGAGAGACCAAGAGAACUGGUGUUUCGUAGCAGAUGCUAAUCUGAGCGAUCUCAACUUGACUGCUACUAAAAAGGAGAGCAUUUUCCUGGAUUUACAGAUAACUACUGUGCUUCAUCUGUGACUGUGCUGGCUACUUUUAUGUCAACUUGAUACAAGCUAGAGUCAUCCGAGAGAGGAGAACUUCAACUGAGAAAAUGCCUGCAUAAGAACUGGCUGUACGGCAUUUAAAUUAGUGAUUGAUAUGGAGGGCCCAACAAAUUGUUGAUUGUGCCAUCCUUGGCCUGGUGGUCCUGGGCUCUAUGAGGAAGCAGGUUGAGCAAGUCAGUAAGGAACACUCCAUCAUGGCCUGGGCAUCACAUCAUGGCCUGUGCAUCAGAUCCUGCCUCUAGGUUCCUUCCCUGCUUGAGUUCCUGUCCUCAUAUUGCUUUUGAUGAUGAAUUGGUAUAUGGAAUAAACCCUUACCUUCCC
rnacentral:lncRNA from 1 species